rnacentral:lncRNA from 1 species
UUUUUCUGCGGGCCCCAGAGCGUUUCUAUUGAUUAUUUAUCUCUCUCCACCUUCUGCAACCUCAGUGUCUUCUCCCUUUCCUCCACUCCCUCGGUCCCUCCUACACCCUCGUGUUGUUCCUCUUCCAUAGUUCCACCAAGAUGAACCACCACAUGUGACAUGUCUACGCACAGCUCUCUCAUGUGGACGCUGGCUCCCUGCUGUGAUUCACCACUCGCUCGCAUCAGGCAUCAGUUAACAUGCUCAUUUCCCCUCUCUGAUUGCGCUUCCCUGAAUCACUCCUAAAUGGCAUGGAUCUGCAUACCCCUUUCCAGGUGUCGCCCUCCUCUCUUUUUGCAUCCUUUAUUAUCCAAGUUUCUCUCAAAUACAUGUGUAUAUCAUGUAUGCAUGAACGACUGAUAAUCAAACUUCUUGCUGGAGUGUGUUGCUAUGCAUCAAUGGAUAAUGUACAGACAGCUUCUUCCCCUCACGCACAUCACAACUCUAUUCUUUCUUUUUUGUUGCGAGGUACAUCACAACUCUAUUCAGGUGAGAGUACUUUCCAGCUGCAAAUUUUAUAUUAUUCUUCCCGGCUGCAGUUAUAUCACCUGAUAGCUUAGUACUAAUAAUCUGUCUAAUCGACCUGACAUUUACCCAUGUAUGUUAGAUACUCAAGACAUUUUCUGCAAAUAAUCAAGCCAUAUUUCUUAAGAUCUAUACAAUGUUGUGUGCUCAGAUUACACAAGCCAGUUAUGGAGUUCCUUCUGGAGUUCUGCCACAUCAAUAUUUCCAUUACAUCAAGAUUGUAAGUUGAUCUAAUCUUAUUCCUGAAUGCUUUGUUCCGUACCUUACAGGACGGCUAACUCAAUUCUAUUUAUUUUAUGCAACUAUAGUGCAAUGGCCGAAACCAUGUCUUAUGCUUCAUCUACAGGAUCGGGUUUCUUACCAUUUUGCUUUUUAUUUUAUACAAU